GGUUUCCUUCCGGUCGAUGAGGUAGAUGUACCUCAUCAAUUGGAAGGGUUUCCUUCCGGUUGAUGAGGUACAUGUACCUCGUUGACUGGAAGGAAACA
rnacentral:miRNA from 1 species